AACGAACGCUGGCGGCAUGCCUAACACAUGCAAGUCGAACGAGACCUUCGGGUCUAGUGGCGCACGGGUGCGUAACGCGUGGGAACCUGCCCUUAGGUUCGGAAUAACUCCCCGAAAGGGGUGCUAAUACCGGAUAAUGUCUUCGGACCAAAGAUUUAUCGCCUUUGGAUGGGCCCGCGUUGGAUUAGCUAGUUGGUAGGGUAAAAGCCUACCAAGGCGACGAUCCAUAGCUGGUCUGAGAGGAUGAUCAGCCACACUGGGACUGAGACACGGCCCAGACUCCUCCGGGAGGCAGCAGUGGGGAAUAUUGGACAAUGGGCGAAAGCCUGAUCCAGCAAUGCCGCGUGAGUGAUGAAGGCCUUAGGGUUGUAAAGCUCUUUUACCCGGGAUGAUAAUGACAGUACCGGGAGAAUAAGCUCCGGCUAACUCCG
rnacentral:rRNA from 1 species